GACGAACGCUGGCGGCGUGCUUAACACAUGCAAGUCGAACGGAAAGGCCCUGCUUGCAGGGUACUCGAGUGGCGAACGGGUGAGUAACACGUGGGUGAUCUGCCCUGCACUUCGGGAUAAGCCUGGGAAACUGGGUCUAAUACCGGAUAGGAGCCAUUUUUAGUGUGAUGGUUGGAAAGUUUUUUCGGUGUAGGAUGAGCUCGCGGCCUAUCAGCUUGUUGGUGGGGUAAUGGCCUACCAAGGCGGCGACGGGUAGCCGGCCUGAGAGGGUGGACGGCCACAUUGGGACUGAGAUACGGCCCAGACUCCUACGGGAGGCAGCAGUGGGGAAUAUUGCACAAUGGGCGCAAGCCGGAUGUAGCGACGCCGCGGGGGGGAGGACGGCCUUCGGGUUGUAAACGCCUUUCGCUAGGGACGAAGCUUUUUGUGACGGUACCUAGAUAAGAAGCACCGGCUAACUACGUG
rnacentral:rRNA from 1 species